rnacentral:rRNA from 1 species
ACCUGGUUGAUCCUGCCAGUAGUCAUAUGCUUGUUUCAAAAGAUUAAGCCAUGCAUGUCUAAGUACACGCCAUAGCAAUACGAAACCGCGAAUGGCUCUUUAAAUCAGUUAUGGUUCCUUAGAUCGUACACAUUUACUUGGAUAACUGUGGUAAUUCUAGAGCUAAUACAUGCAAUUGAGCUCUCGUCCCUUUUAGGGUGAGAGUGCUUUUAUUAGACCAAGACCAAACGGGGGCAACUCCGAUAGUCGUGGUGACUCUGAAUAACUAUGGCGGAUCGCACAGUCCUAGCACUGGCGACGCAUCUUUCAAGUGUCUGCCUUAUCAACUUUCGAUGGUAGGUUAUGCGCCUACCAUAGGUUGUUACGGGUAACGGGGAAUCAGGGUUCGAUUCCGGAGAGGAAGCCUGAGAAACGGCUACCACAUCCAAGGAAGGCAGCAGGCGCGCAAAUUACCCACUCCCGGCACGGUGAGGUAGUGGCAAAAAAUAACAAUACGGGACUCUAACGAGGCUCCGUAAUUGGAAUGAGUACACUCUAAACCUUUUAACGAGAAUCUAUUGGAGGGCAAGUCUAGUGCCAGCAGCCGCGGUGACUCUUGCUCCAAUAGCGUAUAUUAAAGUUGUUGCGGUCCUAAAAAGAAAAAGAAUAGAUGACCGGCGAAAUCAAGAUUUUUCACUUCCUUAAGUUUUGUCGAUGAGUGUACUCUUAUUCAACAAUACUAUUUUGAAAUUUUAAUGUCAUUAUAUUCGGCUUAAACAUUGACAGUAAGGCUUGCUAUGUAGAAAUUGAGAAAGAAAACGAAGUUUAAUAAGAAAGUUAUAUAUAAUACAUAUACCAGAAUAAGAGGUUGGUAGAGAAAGAAAAGAUACUUAUGCUUUAUUUUAUUCAGAAAUUGUUUACAUCUUUUCAGUUAAAAUAUAAUUAAUUACCCACUACAAUCCUUCUUUAGUUCUGACGUUUCCUUUUCCUAAUUAGUGUUCUUUAAGGGCGACCGCGAGUUACAGAAUCGUGUAAGAUUGCAGUGGAUAAUUAAUUAUGUUUUAGAACAAUAUUUUAUUUUAUCCUUCCAUACGCUAUUCAUGCGAUAUAAACAAGGUUUAGUCAAAUCUGAUACGUAAUUCACUUAUGUACAUGUAACCAAACUUUAUAUGUUUAAAAAAUAGUAGAAAUGUGAUAUUGUACUGGGAUAAGGUACAUAAAUUAUUAAAAAGGCAUCUCCUUAUCAUGCAACUGAAAGUUUCUGAUGGCUUGCGCCAUCUAUCGUAAUAAAUAUCAACUAUUGACGAGAUCAACGAGAAUAGUUUCUGCCGUUUAGUCAAAGUCUUAUCUGCAUCGGUUAGGGAAAUUGACAUUCACACAAUUGAUAACGGGAAGCACGGACGAACAUUAGAUAUAUAAAUUCUUUUAACAAUUUUGGUCUUGAAAUAUAGCUCUUGAAUGAGAUAUAAAUUACUGAGAGAAGAAAAGUGUUGAUUCAAUAUCCCGUAUAUGGCGUGAUUGAACUUAGAAUUUAUUACUUGUAUUCUCAAAUGGAAUGUAAAAUCGUGCAAGACUAAGUCAGGUCAUUAAGAAAUUGUUAGAAUCAAUUCCAAAAAGAAAAAGUAUCUUCCUCAUUUUACUCCAUAUUACGCGUGAGAUGUAUCUAUAAUUAAAUCCUUUCUUUACUCAGUGUCUAAAAAUUAAACAAAUUCUUUAGGGCGACAGGGUAAAUAUAGAGGUAUACCGUUGAUUCAAAUAAUAUGAGCCACAUACUGUCGUAAUUUGACUUCAGAUGAGGUCGUUCCUAACAUAAUAAACAGACACUUUUAUUGCUAACAAAAGUGGUAGUGCUCACUUUCAAUGUCCGCACGUAAUUUCUCCAUUCAUAAAGUAGCGUUGAAUUGUUCUGACUUCUUAUAGCCACAGACAUGCCCAUCAUACUUUGUAGAUGAUUGUUGGACCGGGAUUUCUUAUGAGAUAAUGGAAAAUAACCAUCAUAUCUAAUGGCCGUUCCCCUACCCGCUACUUGGGAUACUCCUUCUUCUUCUUUCUUAUCUCCACUCAAUCAUAUUUAGGUAUCAAGCUUGUAAAGCUUGAGACUUUUGAUGGUGUCUGCCGGGGAAGAGUAGAGCUCAUCAAUGGAUGAGUCAAUACAGUCAAUAAUGUGUUUUGGGGUUGCAGGUUGAGAAUGGGGAUACUCCUGGUAGGAAUCAGUUCUUCCUUAGGGGCCAGAAUUGAUCAAUUAUUCCUAAAGUAAUAUAUUCAUGUAAUUAUAGGAUAAUAUAUAACGCGCCAUCUAUAUAUAUAAAAGUGAAACAUAUAAGCAUGUAGGUUUCUUUUGAACAUUAUCCAAACUUCUACUAAAGAGAGUAGAAGUUUGAUUUAUAUUAAAAAGAAACUUACGUGCUUAAAUAUUUUCCUUCUUGUAUAUUCACAUACCAAAAGUGGCAUCUCACCCAUUAAAUAUGCAUUAAAACAAUGUAUUCCGUCAUCAUACAAAUUCAAAACAUAAAGGUGGUAAUGGCGAAUAAGCGACAACACAGAUUAAUUACAAAUGAUUAUAUACAAGGAUUAUAUACAAGGAUUAUAUACAAGGAUUAUAUACAAUGAUUAUAUACAAGGAUUAUAUACAAUGAUUAUAUACAAGGAUUAUAUACAAGGAUUAUAUACAAGGAUUAUAUACAAGGAUUAUAU